CCAAAGGACCUGUAUCAACGCAGAUCAGCCAAAGGGUCUAUGAUGCUGGAUCUGAUGUGCUUCAGACUGAAGACAGAACUAGUAACAACAGAGUCCCUCCUGAUGAAGAUCUAAACUGCUGUUUACAAACUGAAGGCAGCCAAGUGCUAGGAGACGUCCCUCAGGAGCGUGUCAGGAACUCCAAAUGGGUUUUUCUUACCUUGGGGAGAGUGAUACAGCACAGAGGAAGGGCACUCAACAUGAGCUAAGGGAGGACUCACCAAGGCAUCCCACAGGGUGGAGCUCCUCAGUACAGCUCAGGAGCAUGGCAAAGUUGAGUAAAAUCAUGCCAUUGCAUCAGCGACUUUCUGUGGUAUACCUGUCUCAUGAGUUCAGUGCAACUUGCUGCAGGUUUUCUCCAAAUUUCUGUCAACUGUUUCCAAAGAAGUGUUCCCUGUCCCUUUGCCAAGGAGUAUCAAGUAUUCACUGAUAUUUAUGUGUUUCUUUCUCCUCCUCCAUGUGCUAAUGAAACCCUAUUGUGACCUAGGAAUGAUGUGUGGGCAGGAGCUCCUCUCCUGCCUGCUGAAGCACGUGCCAUACAAGUGGGUGAUUCAAAACUUUUCAGAAACUAUAUCCUCAGUCAUUUGUUCCCUCUCUGCACUCAAAAAGGCCAACCAUGCUGCAGGUAACAGGAUGCACUCACCAGAGCACAACAGCUCCACUGUUUCUGUGUUAGCUCCCACUGGGCUCUGCUUUGGGGUAUUUGGCCUUCAAACCCCUGGCACCACAUGGCAGCACCUUUGCCAGCAGAGCUGUGACACUGCAGACUUAGUGAUGCAGCAAAGGGACAGAAGCAGAUGAGGUGUCCACGCACUCUGAGGAAACAGUUGUUUAAUAAAUUAACAGGCAAAUUAAAACAAUUAAGCCACAUUUCCUAUUAGCUGCUCACAGUAAUGAAGUUUGACGCUAACGAAAUCAGGCGCUCGAUUUUUUAAUCUUUUGUUUUUACAUCUCUGUUCCAGAGGAAAAGCUGUGGGAAGGCACGAAGAGUGACACAGGUCAAACUAAGUUCAGGCUCAGCUCAGCGUCAUUGUGCUGACUGCCUCCUUCCUUCCUUUCCUUCCUUUCCUUCCUUUCCUUCCUUUCCUUCCUUCCUUCCUCCCUCCCUCUCUCCCUCCUUCCCUCCCUUCUCUCCCUUCCCUCCCUUCCCUCCCACCCUUCCUCCCUCCCUCCUUUCCCUCCCUUCCAGGGAGGUGGUCAGUGGUGGCUUUGUGCCACUGCAGAUUAUUACAGAUGCUGAACAGAUGCAAGAUGUGGUUUAUCUCUUGCACCUUCAUUCACAGUGCUCCUGUGAGAGGGGUGGGGUGAAUAUGGAUAAAUGAUUUCAAAGGUGGUCAAGAGCUUGGCAGUAAAUAGAGCACCGGAUCCAGUGGUACUCCUGAAAGCCAGCACAGAGGCAUGUAUGGCAUCUGCAUGCCAUGGUCUUGGCCAGUGGCCAUGCUCCCCUCAGCAUGAUCUGUUUCAUGGCAGCCUGGAGGAAGGGGGAUGUCCUUGCACCUAUUCUGUGUGCCCUGUCCUGGGAGGGAUAAUCAAAAGCUGAAGCUGGUGCAAAUCCUGCGGGGGGCCCAAGUGAAGCUGGAGUAAUGCUGUGGGGAUGGUCAGCAGGCCUCACUGCAUCCCCUUGGGUUACCUGGGUGCAGGUGUUGCAGCCUGCAGGCGUUUUUGUCUCCACUCAGUUUUUGACCGACCAAGAGCAUCUUCAGGCUCAUUUUCCAAGGGAAGCAUCACACAUCCUGAUGCACAAAACCUCCAAGGGCUGGACUGGAAGUGCAGCCGAGGUGGCGUAAGUACAUGGCAGAUGGGCACCAGCAGAGGUUGGAGUCAAGGGGAUUUUUCAUCAUGCCUUUUUUUAAUCUCCUCUUAAGGAGACCCACUCAAGGAAAGCUGUAAUUAUUUUAAUCUCUUUUUUCCCCUUCCCACUCUGCAAAUGCACUUGGCUUUGUAAGGCCUCAGAGGCAAUUUUAUGGAGGGAAAACAUGCCAAUUUUUUUUUUUUUUCCUUAAUUUUAAUUAUUUCAGAUAGAUACAUUUCUAAUGUCGUACUAGCCAAGGAACAGAGGGGUUUUAUUUAUUAUUAUAACUAUUUGUUGUAUUUUUACUCACUAAAGAAUGAAUUAACCAUUCCCAAGAGCCACCAUGGACCAUUGUGGAUCAGUGAGACAUGGCACACAGCCACCUUGUUCCUUUCCUGCCCUCAGUCCCUCUGCAGCUGCUCUGGACUUGCUUUUAGCACUUGAUUGGGUGCGAAGUUGCCAUUCAGAUGGUAUCUACGGUCAGGCACUGCCUGCUAGCACAGGGGAUUGGCAAGCAUCUGCUUUGUAAGCGCUUGUAGGUUGUGGGCGUUAAGAAUAUCUUUGUUUUGAUUAAGAAUAGAAAGCAUUUGUGAACACUGAGAUUCUCUGCAUCUUUGUGUAUGUGUUGUUUGUUGGACUUGCAGUAAAACAAGGGUUCUGAAACCCUAUCCUUUGACUUCUCUAGGAACAUUCUGAAUCCCUUUCCUCUCCUAGAGAUGAGAAAGGGGAGACAACCAGAGCUGACUUGAGGGUGUAGUAAUAGAAUACACCUGUGUUGCACAGCUCUUUGCCCAUUUGGGAUUGUAGGCAGAGCUCCUUGGCCAGCUGCAAAGUAGGGCAUGGGGGCGGGAUCUGAGGAGCAGCUAUGGGAUAAACCUGGUUGUCUGCAUCUAUGCUGGCUGGCAUGGCAGAGGGGAGCUUGUAAGAGCCCAGAGAGAAAGUGGGUGUGGAUGUGGUAACCUCUGCCAUCAGCUUCAGGAGCAUAGUGCUGUGUAGCAUCAUCCUUCUGAAGGUCUAUAGUGAUCCCAUUGCAGGUACAGGCUGUAUGUUCUCCUGUCCUGUCUCUUGCUUGUUAGCAGCUCUCAUUCUGCAUUCUCACAAAAGCACUCAUCAAACAUUUACUGCAUCCAGUUUACCAGAGAGAACCGUUUUCAGGGUGUGACCUCCAGCUUUAGAAUAUGAUGAAGUCAGUACACAAGCACUCUUUCCUGCUGUGUUGAUGCUGUAUCAACAAUAGCAGUCAUAAGUGCAGCCAGAAACUGUUGCCAUACUUGAAACAUCUAAUAAACAGGACCUAAACCUGCUAACAUUUAAUUAAAGCCUGGCUGAAGGAGCCCAGCUCAUAGACUGCUAUGCAGCAGGUAGCCCCUACAAAGACCAGGUUACAUCUUUGUCACUCAGGGAGGGUAAUAUAUUGUGUUGUGCAGGAAAACAUGGCCCUGAAACAAACCCUUCUCCAGUCUGUCUAUUUCAGACUCUUUUGCUGUUUGUUUACAUCAACCUUUGUUUUUUCCAUCCAUUCCUGUCACUUAUUUUGUAUAUCCAGAGGCAUGUGGGCACCCUCUUUUUUGCCACAACACUGUGCUGCCUCCCAAGGUUCACAUCUAUGUUGUACUUCUCAGCCAGUGGGUUUAUUUCUGUUCUUUCAUCUUUUUUCGUAUAUAUAUAUUUUUUCGUGUUGUCUUAUAAAAUGCUUGCUACAUGUAAGGUAUGAUCUGAGAAAAGGUGCUUCUUGCAGUUGUUGUGGUGAGACUCACAAUUUCCCAGGUGAGCUGUGGUUGGUGGACCUCCUGGCCUGAUAAGCUUUUAUCCCCCUAAGGCUGGUGGCCUGGGGUGCCCCAGGAGCCCGCUGCAGUUCUGAGGCCGUGUAGCUUCUUGACCCCUGUAGCUGUGAGUAGAGGCUUCACUUUGAAAACCAGCUAAAAGUUGGUCUGUAGUGAUUGUGGAUGUGCUAUGAUCCUUCACCAGUGCUUUCUACUGCACUCGUGCCCUCAUGAUUGGGAGGCAGCUCAGCCCUAUCCCCUAGUGUUGGGACCUUCCCUUUAGUGCAUGCGGUGGGGUCACCCCAAACAGCUGUUCAUAUCUCCCCUCUUCAGCACUAAAAUUGAGGCUGAAUUUACUUCCUUGUGCUUUGGCUGCUCUUGAUCCCGGUCUCCAGCAAUGGUAUCCAGUAAACCUGUCCCAUGGAAAGCCCUCGUUAUUCUAGCUAUGGGGCUGCAACUCCCUGCAGGUCUUUGCUUUCCAAGGUCUUGCAUGAAUAUGUUGCAUUUCAUAGCUGUCAUUGGUGCCUCCCGCUCAUGCCUAACCUGGCCAUUAGAAGGGUGUCUCUGGAUGGUUUUGCUUAAUGACUGUGAAUGGCUGUCCAAAAUGUAGGGCUGAUCCUUGUCUUGUAUUAAGGUGCUGGAGAUUCAUUGGGAGUGAAAAGUCUGCAGUUCUCCUUUCACUGCGUAGAGGGGUUGGAGGGGAUAUGGUGCCAGAUUAAGGUCUUGGCAAGGGAUGGGGCUGCAGCAGGGAGCAGUUCUUGGUGAUGAGCAGAUGGCCUGCAUUGCUGCAGGACAGUCUGGCUGGAGGGAUUUAACGCCUCAACUAUUUCUCUUGCAUGGCUGCAGGUGAUGUGCAGAGCUCCAGCAUUGGGAGCUGUGGGGCUGUCUUCCUCUGGGCUAUGAGGAGGAAUAAAGCCAAGGCUUCAGGGCCAAGCAGUAGAAUAACUUGCUGCAAAGGUGAUUUUGUGUAGGUGCACAAGCUACCCAGAGAAUAUGAGAACACUGGAGCCUCUAGUGCCUGGGGGAUGAGUUCCAAUUUCAGCUGCACAAGCCAGCUGUGUAUGCUGAUGUUAGUGUUUUUUGAGGAGGCUGCUGAAGAGCAGCAGCUGUGCCUUGCUUCCUCACAGAUGUAUGGCAAAGAUUUGAGUUACACUGUGGGCCCUGAAACAACCAGAGCAGUCUUGUGCACUAGUUUUGCAGAAGCAUCAGAAUAACCAAAGGAUUGGUGUACUCAGGAAGCAGACUGGCCAGCAUGCAAGAGAGACAUCAGUCUUGAAUUGUUAGAAUAAGUUGCUGGAGUUAUAUUUCCAAGUAGAUCACCUUAGGCACAAACUCAUCCUGGGCAGUCUUGUUGCUUAAGCAAGAUGUUAGCCCAGUGCUAAAGUUUGAUGGUUUCAGCUGCUAACAAUUUGCCUGCUGUAGGGCGUUUCUUUGCAUCCCUUCCAAGCUCUGCAGUGAAACCUAAAAGAGAACAGAUCUGUAUCUGAUGGUCUGGGACCUUCUGCCAGGGCUGCUGAUAGUGCAAGAGGGACCUGGUGGAAUCUGGGGUCCUCCCUCCUGCAAGAAUAACACAGAUAGGGCUGUGACAUAAGGGGUGUAGCAGGAGCAAAGAAUUCCUAAUAGGUUGUUCUGAAAUACUUGGUUAUGUAAGAAUCAGGAUUUUGCUGGUAGCAUCUUAUCAGCUUGAAGAAACAGGGUAUAGCUUACAGCUUGUGACGGUGCUGUGGAAGUGAGAAGACUGAGCCUGACUGAGCAGCAAUAAGGCUUUCAACAGCUGCCACAGAUCAGACUCUCCAAAAUGUUAAAGCUUUGAAAUAAUAAAUAGUUCACUAAUGCGAGUAGAGCAUCAUUCCAGGAAUUAAAAGAUAAACUGUGAAGUGGUGGUGAUGCAGACAGCAAAUAUGUAGUGCUGUAUGUUUUUAUGAUUAUGCUACAGUUCCUCUUGCUCUAAUUUGUAAUGCUUUGUAUUGCUAAAUGCUAAUAGUAAUAACUUGACAGAUGAGAACUUACAAAAUACCUGUACAAAACUUUUCUUUGUUCCCAAAUAAUUAACUGUCGAGUUUUCUGAAAAAACUCCCUUUCUUCCCCAGAGCACGGGUACUGCAGAUGUCCUGCCCAUGAGACAGGCUGGAUUUGAGCUGGCUAGGGGGAACUGAGCAUCUUUGGACCAGGAGCAACAGGCCCGCUACAGAGAGGGCCUACAUUCAGCAGAUCUAGGAAACCAGGCAUCUUGGCAUCUCCUUCUACACUGCAACUUUCCUCAGAUCAGAGCAAACUAAAGCAAUAAAAAAGUGCAAUCUUCAUCAACUAUGUCCAAUAAGGCACUGUUGGUAUUUUUCUCUCUGAGGUUAACCGGCUGCUACUAAGACAAAAUAUGAAGGGUCAACCCAACAACUACUUCCCCUUCAGGCUGAGAAGUCCCCAUUCUUACCUCACUUUGUUGCCUUCCCAAAGUCCCCUGAUGGAUCCAUUUUUUCCAAACUACAGCUAUCAUGCCAACACAACAUUCAGUUGACAAUGACAAGGCUCAGCUAUCAUGGCAACACGAUAUUCAAUCUACAAUGCAGUUGCAUAUCCAGCCUGAAGGGUGCCUUUGUAACGACCAAGGCUCUUGCUGUAUGAUUGGCAAAGUCGGGAGGAAAGAAAUACAUGAGCGAUGUGGGCUUGUCUUCAGAACAAGAUUUAUUAAGAUUUUGCUUUAACAAACAAAUGUGUGAAGGCAUCAAUUCCUUAAGUUUUCUGUCGUAUGGCAUGGACAAAAGGAAAAACAACAGACUGGGAAGCGAAUUCGGCACAUACACAACAGAGUAACAAAAGAGGCAUGGAUUAGCCUAUAUAGCUGUUAUAUCAUCUAUUAGAAGACAUUCUGCAAGCAACAGUCUACAUUUCUUUGCAUUUAAGUAAGUAAAAACAUAUUUUUGAUCAAGAAAAUUACUUUUUUUUCUUAAAACUUUUUCCUUUAUAUCACAAAUGUCAGGGUAAGGCAAAUCCCAGAUGAAUUGUAUGAUAAAAAUCCCUGUUCCCCGAGAAAAUAGAUCCGACAUACUCUGCUAAGUUUGUCGGUUUGAAAGCAAAGCAGGCAUGCACUGCAUAUAGAGAAAUGUCUUUUUUUUUUUUCCUUUUUUCUUUUUGAUCAAGUGCAUAAAGCAGAACAGUGUUAAUUCACAAAGAGGCUUUUUUUCAGUGCUUCAUAGAAAGAUUUGCAAUUAGCUGUGGUGAAUGUGUGACCCAGUGUUACAGAUGACGUCUCAGACAUCUUCUUUGGAGGUCGGCGUGGAAGGAAACCCGUCCAUCAUUAGAGCAGUCACUGGCUGGAGGAUUAGUGAGUCUCACAGCAGAGACCUGCACUUUCAGAAAUAGGAACUGCAACAUUAAAGCAGAGUCUGAUACCUUGCAUGCAGACACCAACAGGUAGGAGCUUCCUCUCUGUGCCAGGUAUCAGCUCCCACAUUGCUGUGUUUCCUGUCAUGUUGGUGGAGACUGUGUGGAGGAGCAUGGGCCCAGCUGCAACCAGCAAACCCAACUGAGGAACUCACACCACCCAACUCUGCCCACUCUGUGACUACUGAAAAAUGAAAGAAGCCGUAAGGAAAUGAAAAUCCACUGGAAGAAAGAUAGAGGCCUCUCUGAAGAUUGUCCUACAAGCAUUUAAGCAACUUACACGUUUAUUUAUUCAACACUUCCUACACUUCUAGACUUCACACUUGCUGCUGUGUCUUCAGGAAAACCUUUCCCAGCAUCAGAGGCUUGCUGCCAUUCAAAGACCAAGGUUGAAUAAAAAGUGCAAUGGAAUUACUGUCAGAGCUUAUAAAUAUUGUGUCUAACAUGAGGCAUUUUUGCAGCAAAUUACUGUUAUUUACAUCAGUUCGUCUUUGCAAGGACUUAGAUGAGCCUUUGUCUCCAAGCAGUUGUGCUUCUGUGGCCAGCCUCCUUGCUAAAACCAAGGCUAGCAAAUGCUUGAGGGGCAUGUGACAGCUCUGUUGAGGCCAGUUUACCCCAGCUGAGGACGUGGCCAAUCUAGGUUGUCCUCAAUGUUUUUGAGUAAUUCAAAGAAGAGCUUUCCCAAUCUAUCCUAUGCCGUAUGGAGGCAGUUCCCUCGCAUUCCUAAAGAAAUGGAUCCCUUUGAUUUUUGUCUUUUCACAGAGGCAGCACUAACCAGGGAACUGUGGUGAGAGAUACCCGAUGCAUUUAUUCCUCUUCCUCCCACUCUUCCACCUUCUGUUAUGACAGUCUGUUUAAAUCAAAAUCAGCAAGUACAGAAGACACAUAGAAAGGGAUUUGCAUUGCAGAGAUGCACCAUUUGCAAAGCCACUGUCUAUAAGACUGGAAUCUGCUGGAAAAGAGGUGAAGGAACAUCAGGAAAAUAUCCAUGUCCCAAAAGAUGCAUUUAUUUUUUGCAUCUGGCAAACUAACAGGGAUGAGAAGGAGAAACAGAACAGUGGCUUCAAAGGGAAUAAAAUUCAAAAUGUAGAGCUAGAGGGUAAUUAUCUCUCUAGGAAAACUAGCAAGAGUAUAAAACAGAUUAAAAGGCUUAUACUGUUUCUUCUAAAGAUGAUCCAACUCCAAGUAUCCCCCAGUCUCCAGGAGAACUGUACGAUGAAGAAUCUCCUUGAGAUCUUCUCUGGCAUGACCUCCAUAUAGUGCAAAGUGCCACAAAAGCUGGCACGCAGAAAUAUUCACCCACCAAAGACAGCACAAAAAGCAAAUGGGCGGGAGCUCUAUGCAAGGUGAAAGGAGGCAGUGUUCCUAGGGGCCAUUAGUGCUCUCAUGGGGAAAUCUGGAGUUUUUGUUGUUUUCUUUUCUUAUCAUUGCUUAUCUUGGUGCUCUUCCAAACCAACCUGCAGCAGACAGCAGCCAUCAAAUGCCAUAGCUGAUGCUGUAUUCCAUAGGGGCACAGUUUACUUGCUAUUAUGCUGGUGGAGAAUUAAUUGCCAAAGCUCCUAUACCUGGGAUAAAUGUAGAGCAAAGGAGGAUGGAUAUCCUUCCACAUCUUAGAAAAUAUCUUGCCUUGUUUUUUUAGUAAUAAAUAAUUGAUUUGGGAUUGGUGCCUAUUCAGGAAGGGGAAAGAGAGACUACCACAACUACUUUGUUUAAAAGGAUCCAAUUAUUAUCAAUGGCAUUUUGAAAUAUGGUUUGUAGCCUGGGGACAGGUUGUGUGCUCUUCCAUCGUGCAUAUCUUCUACUGGUUUCAUUUACUGCGUACGUAAAAUCCUUUUGUUCCUCUUCGAAACAUUUCUGUGUGGCAUUUGCUGGCAGACCAGUUGACAUAUGGUGAGACAUUCUUAUCCAAAUAGCUGUUAAUUGCUUUUUUUU